rnacentral:rRNA from 1 species
GCGCGAAAACUUUACAAUGCUGGCAACAGCGAUAAGGGAACCUCGAGUGCCAGGUUACAAAUCUGGCUGUCGUUGUGUCUAAAAAACACGAUAUAGCAAGGGCCGGGCAAGACCGGUGCCAGCCGCCGCGGUAACACCGGCGGCUCGAGUGGUAACCGUUAUUAUUGGGUCUAAAGGGUCUGUAGCCGGCCGGAUAAGUCUCUUGGGAAAUCCGGCAGCUUAACUGUCGGGCUUUCAGGAGAUACUGUUCGGCUCGAGGCCGGGAGAGGUGAGAGGUACUUCAGGGGUAGGGGUGAAAUCUUGUAAUCCUUGAAGGACCACCAGUGGCGAAGGCGUCUCACCAGAACGGACCUGACGGCAAGGGACGAAAGCUAGGGGCGCGAACCG